rnacentral:rRNA from 1 species
UACGAAGGGGGCUAGCGUUGCUCGGAAUCACUGGGCGUAAAGCGCACAUAGGCGGAUCCUUAAGUCGGGGGUGAAAUCCUGGAGCUCAACUCCAGAACUGCCUUCGAUACUGAGGAUCUCGAGUCCGGGAGAGGUGAGUGGAACUGCGAGUGUAGAGGUGAAAUUCGUAGAUAUUAGGAAGAACACCGGUGGCGAAGGCGGCCCACUGGAUCGGUACUGACGCUGAGGUGCGAAAGCGUGGGGAGCAAACAGG